UUGAAAGGGAAACGAUUGAAGUCAGUCGUGCUGGCGCGAAAUCAACCAUCUCGUCUUGAGGUCGCAUGGCGCGACGAGCCUCAAAACCGUCACGAAGCGUGAACUCUUGACGAGAAGGUGCACUUUCGUGUCCGCUGGUUAACAUCAAUUUCGACCGUCAUAAAAAGGCUGGAGGGAUGUGGCUCCUUCGGGAGUGUUAUAACCUUUAGCGGAAUGUGGUGGUCGGGAUUGAGGAUUGCAACGAAUACCUUNAGGGCUGUUCCACCUGGCUUCUCAUUGGUAUCCUGGUGACGACAGCUUGCUGACUUUGUUAGGAUUCGCCUCUGAACAGGGCUAGAGUGUGAGCAAAUUUCGUUAAGGAUUGACGUACU
rnacentral:rRNA from 1 species